GACGCUCCUAGCAACGCUCCUAGCAACCGGGCAACAUCUGCUCCCGCUGGACCAAUCCGCGCGGGGAACAUCUGGGCACCCACCUCGGCGGGCUGCGGCCGGGAGGGGAUGCGCUCCUCAGUGGCUGCAGGGACCCGCAGGAGCUGCCACCGCCGCCAGCACCGCCAGCACCGCCAGCACCGCCAGCACCUCCUCCAGGAGCAGCGAGGGAAGGACGGAGCAGCCCUCCCUCCCGCUGGAGCCGGGGUGACCGUUCAGCAGUGCCGUGCUGCCAGAAAUGCUCGCUGAGCCCGUGCGAGGGGGAUAUCUUACCAGAACUGCUGAGAUUAGCCCAGAAAGAGCCUCUGCAGACUGACUCCGCAUCCUCAGAGCUGAUCUGAUCGGGGCCUACCAAAGACAUUAACGACGUCGAAAGUAGCUUACUUUAAGAGAAAAUAUGCAGAAGAAGAACAUUUACAUCAAGAUUACCAUGAGUAUUGUCCAAAACACCUGAUACUCCCAGAGGACCGGACUUGUAUCCUGAAACUAUCUCUGCAGAAACUGCGCUUCCUGGACGACCCCGAAGCCUACCUGCGUAGGUCUGUAUUAAUUAACAAUCUGUUGAGGAAGAUUCACCUAGAGACAGAGAGGGAGAGCUAUGAAUACUUUAAGGAGGCUCCGUGCUAUAGGACUGCCUACUCUGACGCUCGAAAACGGCUGAAGCUGGUGGUGCAGGAGUGCUGUUCCCAGUCGCUCUAUUAUGAAGAGCUGCACUCGUAUCGCAUCGUGCCUUACUCUGCAGAGAGCGCCGUCUACGGGAUGGGCUACACGGGCAGCCACCUGGAGCAAAACUCUCAGUUGCUUAUUUAUAAAAUGAAUUAAAAGUAGCUGUUAGACCCAC